GGUAACGUGACGGCCUCUCCACAGUAAGUGACGGCCUCCCCACAGGUAACGUGACGGCCCCCACAGGUAACGUGACGGCCUCCCCACAGGUAACGUGACGCCUCCCCACAGGUAACGUGACGGCCGCUCACCACUAGGUAAACGUGACGAUCUCCCCAACAGGUAACGUGACGGCCUCCCCACAGGUAAACGUGACGGCUCCCCACAGGUAACGGAACGGCUCCCCACAGGUAACCGGGACGGCCUCCCCACAGGUAACGUGACGGCCUCCCCACAGGUAACGGGACGGCCUCCCCACAGGUAGGGACGGCCUCCCCACAGGUAAGGACGGCCUUCCCACAGGUAAGGACGGCCUCCCCACAGGUAACGGGACGGCCUCCCACAGGUAACGGACGGCCUUCCCCACAGGUAACGGGACGGCCUCCCCACAGGUAACGUGACGGCUCCCCACAGGUAACGUGACGCCUCGCCCAGUACGGCCUCCCACAGGUAACUGUGACGGGCCUCCCCAGGUAACGUGACGGCCUCCCCACAGGUAACGUGACGGCCUCCCACAGGUAACGGGACGGCCUCACCCCACAGGUAACUACGGCCCAUGGGUAGACGGCUCCCACAGGUAACGGG
rnacentral:lncRNA from 1 species